AUGUACCGGCCGCACACCCAGUUCCAAGCGCGCCGUGCACACCCACCUGACGACUGCUCGCUACGUUUUAUCAGCC
rnacentral:sRNA from 2 species